rnacentral:tmRNA from 1 species
GGGGACGUAAAGGUUUCGACGGGGGUUAUGAACUCCGGUAAGCGCGCCGAGCAUCGUGUAAGCUCGUAAAUAUCGCACGAAAGAAAUAUAAACGCUAAAACUAAUUUUACCCUUUCUCGCAAUGACGCUACUUCUGUAGCGUUCGCUGCCUAAAAGGUCUUAACCGCCUAAUCGCGGUUCGUUCGACGGAGAGUUACCCGCACUUUCCUGUUCGGGCGUGAAUGAGUCGGGAAACGCUUGCAAGAGUUUUCGUGUAUUGCAAGGCAGAUUUUACGAAUGCAACGCAGUAAACCGCGCCGUUUCGGGGGGCUGUGCCAUAGUAAAAAUAUACGGAUAAGCGCGUAGAAAGCUGUACGGAUUGAUUUUCGGACGCGGGUUCGAUUCCCGCCGUCUCCACCA